rnacentral:rRNA from 1 species
UACAGAGGUGGCAAGCGUUGUUCGGAAUUACUGGGCGUAAAGGGCUCGUAGGUGGCCAACUAAGUCAGACGUGAAAUCCCUCAGCUUAACUGGGGAACUGCGUCUGAUACUGGAUGGCUUGAGUUUGGGAGAGGGAUGCGGAAUUCCAGGUGUAGCGGUGAAAUGCGUAGAUAUCUGGAGGAACACCGGUGGCGAAGGCGGCAUCCUGGACCAAUACUGACACUGAGGAGCGAAAGCCAGGGGAGCAAACGGG